rnacentral:lncRNA from 1 species
AAAUAAACAAAAUUAUAAGGGACAUACCCAAUGACUCAAUUUCAAAAGAAGAAGUAGCAGCUACGGGGGUGCAGGAAACAAGACAUGAGAUUUUGAAAAAUAUACUUGAUGUUGAUCAAAUAUCUUUUAUCUUAGUAUUUUUAAAAGGUUAAUUUUAAUGGUCAUUUUGUCUAUUUGGAUUAACAAUUAUGCAUCAAAUAAACUAAAAAAUAAAGCAAUAAAAAUGUAAAAGAAAUAAUAAAAGGGAGGGGCACACUAUCAAUGAGAGAGGUAAAAGAAUUAAAAAAAAUAAAGAAAAUAAAAGAAAGAACAAAAAUAAAUAAAUAAAAUAAUAAUAAUAAUAAAAUAAAAAAAAUAUACAAAAAAAAAAUGCUGAAAAUUGGGGGUGUAGUUAGAAAAUGCUUUAGACUCAAAGAAGGGAGUCUCACAAGGGUGCAUUGAGCAAUUAUGAGAUGUGAGGGAAACUUC